AGGCUGCAACCCGCCUGCAUGAAGUUGGAAUCGCUAGUAAUCGCGGAUCAGCAUGCCGCGGUGAAUACGUUCCCGGGCCUUGUACACACCGCCCGUCACACCAUGAGAGUCGGGAACACCCGAAGUCCGUAGCCCUGACCGCAAGGGGGCGCGGCCGAAGGUGGGUUCGAUAAUUGGGGUGAAGUCGUAACAAGGUAUC
rnacentral:rRNA from 1 species